ensembl:lncRNA
UGAGUUCUCAUAUUACAUUUUAUUGUUGGUUUAAUAGAAAAAAAAACAUGUGCCUCUUUUAAUACAGAUUUAAAAUUACGAACAAAACACAAAAAUUACAUUAAUCUUUCUAGCAGCAUGAGUGAAUUUCAGAUGUUGCGAUGUCACUGGCCUUGUUAGAUCACUGAAUAAGACAGAAAUGGGUUUUCAUAUAAAAAGGUAGAGCUCGUGUGGGACAGAAGGACAGAAGCUGGCAGCUUUAAGAAGUAAAGUGACACAGUAGAGGUUUAACUGCAGCAGCCUUACUGGAGGUUAGAGAGAGAACAUUUAGCAGAACAUUUCAACAUGUAAGACUGUGGGACGGCCUGCGCUGAGCGUUGCCGCAUACAGAAACGCGAAUGAGAAUAUAUGACCGUCAAAACACUAAACAAUAGAACAUUUAGAACUGUGAAAACAGGACGUGCACAGUCAAGACAAUGAGAAAUAUGCAUGAAGAUAGGGUUUCUAGAAAAUACGGAGCAUAGAAAAGUCAGAAUAUUAUUCAGGUGUGAGCAAAAGCCAUGAAAAAUUAGAAAUGACUUCUGCUGGCAAGAACACUGGGAAAGUAUUCCUGCUGGAAAUGAUCCAUGGCAGUCUAUGAGGUGCUGACUUUUUGUAGCUCAGCUUCGUAACAUACAGACCUUCCGCUAUGCUGUUUCACAUAUUGGUAAUGUGGUUUCAGGAAAAGCACACGAGUUAAACAGAGUUGAGCUGGUGGUGAGGUCAGAGGAGCAGAGAAAUGGCACAUUGCACGGUAGAAGAACAAGUCUUGGUGCUGCAACAGUUUCUAUUGACUUGAAAUCAGGCGGUUUUAUCAGCCGAAGGAAAGCCGAAUGAGAAAAAACUGAGAUAACAGCUGUAAAUUCAAGCAAAUGCUGAAUGAAAUGAAACCAACGUUGAAUAAAAUAUGACAAACUGACUGAACACUAAAUGUAGAGUACUACGUUCAGUUGAUCUGAUCUGUUUUUCAUGAAUGUAACAACCAAGAAAACAGUGCCUUGUGAUACCUUCGUCUUGUGUAACACAGAGUUUAAAAUAUGCCUCCAAUGUGUCCCUCUGAAGCUAUGACUUUCAAAGUCUCAGCCACAGGCAAGCAGCAGAAGAGAAAGAACAGCAAUCGCAGGGGGAGAAAUGUGACAUUUUUUGGGAAACAGCUAGAAGUCCAACAACAGCUCCAAAACUUUCUAAAUAUAUAUAUUAAAAAAAGUCUUUAUAAACAAGAGAAACAAGUAGUAGUGUUAUUAGUACAUACAUCCUUUAGGUAAAAUACAAGGGGCUCUACUAUACGUUUAGCUGUUCCUGAACUACUGAAGACUACAGCUUUGACUGCUACCGGAGAAAAUGCAAACUUGGUGUCCAAGUAAACAUUUGUCAUUAAGAGUCUGACAUGUUCAGACCUCAGAAAGUGAAGCGCUCACAGGAAGGAGACCAUGAGCAUAGUGACGCUGCAUAGAUGAAAAGACUUUGGCAAGCCAAACACUGGUAGAGCAGACACCAUGCAACCAUCCAGAUGUACUGUAUCAUUCUUCAUUCAUUCAGCUCCUUCACUUUUACAUUAUCUCAACUCUGAACAGAAAGACCAACUCUCUUUCCAGUAGUAUCACUAAAAACACCAACAAUUAAAAAACAAAAACAAACAGUUUAUGGUUAAUUAAAAACCAUUACAAAUUAUAUUGAUACAUGUCAGUUUUCUCUAUUUGAAUCUACAUUUAGGUUAAUAAAAAAAAGCAACACUCAGCUGGUUCUGACCAGAAACUGAGCAUCGCUGACUUAGAUGGAAUCAGCUAAAGAGGCAGUUAAAAUAGAAUUUAUACUGAAACCAGCAAAAAGAAACACGAGUACAAAGUUACAUUGAGACCUGAAAAAUUUACUAUACAAGCUUUGCUUUAUUUUGUCUCAAAUCUAUAAACAAAUUCCGUUCUGGUACACAGCUAAGCUACCGGCCAUUAGUAAAUGUAAGGCAGAUUUGUUUUCAAAUUGAGGUUACUGCUGUGAUUCAAACAUCUUGCCUUUAGUCCUUGUCUUUCAAAGAAAACAGCAAUGGUAGUAACAAGGUGCCAACAUAGUCAACAUGAAAAGAAAAAUCAUAUAAGUUCACAGUCAAGACACACAAAAAAAAAACAAUCCUCUAAAAUUCUGUUGAGACGGAUACAUUUUUGUGCAUACACAAGCAGCCUUUCACAGCUGGUUAUGAACCAAAAGGCUGAGGUCCACCAAUAUGACUACCAAAGGAAACACCCUCUGGAAUAGUUUUCACUCAUUCAUUCAUUCAUUCAUUUGGGACUUCAGCAACAUAGGCCCCUAGUUUGAUAGCAUUAAGCUAGUGCAACUCACUAACAUCUGUGUUUUCAGUGCAGCAGUAACAGAAAUUUAAGUUAGUGUUGUACAGGAGUAUAUGAAAUACUGCCUAUUCAUUUCUGUAGAAAUGCUGUCUUUAUACAUUUGAGGAUGCAGUUCACAUAGUUAAAAAUUACUUAUUAAGGCUAUGGGUUACUGUUUUAGCAUGGGGUUCUGAGGUUUGUUUUUUUAGAAAGAGUCUCCUGUAACCUUUCAUAACACAAAAUUAUAAAACCUGUAACUAAUUUUACAGUUGGACAAAAGACACAGAUUCUGUUAAAUAAAGGACUUUUGUUAGCUUAUAUAGCUGGUAUCAGGACUAGUCAUGCAGCGCAUACUUUUUAAUUACCUCUACCUUUUUAUAUCUUGGUAGCAGCAGCUAUAAAUAGCAUCAACAACUGUUUGCACUGCUAAUUAAAUGUAACACUACCUUCAUCAAACUAGAGACCUACGUGUUUGCUUUCCAACAUACAUAUAUCAUUGUAUGGAUCCACUCCCCUGCUUGUAGUCUUACGUCUCCUCUAACUUUAGUAAAGAAUAUUAGAUAUUUAAAUCACUGCAUUUCUUUGAACACAGACAGGGACAGUAGGCUGCUACAAAGAGACUCUAUAGAAUUUACAAUUAGUAACUGUGGAGGAAGAGGUAACAGAGGGCUGGAAUGAUGAGGAUGGAAAACAACUGAGCAAACGCAUACAAAGGCAAAACAAGGAGGAAGAAUAAAACUGAUUGCGCACCGACUGUUUGGGUAAAUGGAAGUUUGACAUUUCCACAGUUUUGUGGUACCUAAACAGACACUAAUUAGGUUGGAGGAAGCAAGGCUGAUUGACAGACUGACAUUUGGCAGCUUUGUGGCUCUGAGAUUGCAACAAAAAUAGACACCACACAGAACAGCAAAAAUUAUAAUGUAAUGAAGAAUGUCAACGUAUUCAGCUGGAUUGCUGAGGAUUGUUUGAUUGCUGAGGUACAGGUGUAUGUUUCCAAUUCAGAACUGUUUGUCCUAUCGCAAUUACCCACAAAGAGCUACACUAAGCUGUGAGGUUUGUGUAGCUUUUAGGCUCCGAAGUGUUGUAGCACAGAUACAGACAGAAUAAUAGCAGUGAAAGCAAAGAGGGCAACUGACAGGUAGGAAUACCAGAGCAUUUCCUUUUCCCAGUUUCCCUCUUUGCCAUUCAGUUAUGCAUGUAACCACAUAGUAUAUCUCAAACAGUUGAUUAUUGCAGCUAAUUCACGCAUGUUCAUUAAAGUUCAUUGUUCAGGACAACUUGUAAUCGAAGAGUGCGGAGGUAAGUGGACCGAACAUUCAUGGAACAUAACAGUAACAGCAAAUUGCCCCCAUGAGGGGACAUCUCAACGAGGCUGUGAUGUUUUCAUUACUGCCAGAACAGUGAAUGACGCCCUCAUGAUGAGACUAAACUAAAGCAGCAAAUUAAGUGGAUUAUCUGUGUGGUGAGUCUGAAGAGGGCUGGGGCCAUUUGGCAGGUUUAAUCCCAGUAGUUCCCUCUCAUCCACAGAUUCAAAUGUAGUAGUUUCAUAUGACAUAACUGACGUUAGUAUCAAAAUGCAGAUGCUCAGGUGCUACACGUACACUCUCACAUACACGCACAUUCAAACAGAGGAAACAUUACACAAUACAGAUAUGCCUUUUGUGAAGUUGACCAAAAUCUAUGCUGUCAACGGCCAUCAAGCUCCUGUAACAACUGCAUGAUUCCCACUUAGACAACUACACGAUGUCCACACAGUACAAAACUAUUGUCAAAGCUGUAACAAACACAGUUUAUGCGGAUUUGUCUAGCACCCUGCUCAAAUGUUUAAAGGCCGAUACAAUCUGUAGAGAUCCGUGAUUGAAAAAAUAAAACAUUAAGGCUCUACAGAGUCACGAGAAGACCUUGUAUCAACUGUAGUGUUUAGUUUCAUUAAUUCAGGCAGCAGAAGCUCACCUUUCUUCUGAACUUUGACUGCAUAAAUUAACCUGCCACGUGCUUUAAAGUCACUGACCCAAACUGAAAAUGGUUGUAAGAUCUAACACGCUAGACUUGGUUGCAUAUGAAUUAAUGGAAUCAACAGCUGCCACAAUCACACAUCUGUCUCUCAUGCAGGCAGACUGGUAGAGAAAAGUCCUUUUGUUCAAGUUUUAGACCCUGGUUGUGAGUACAGAGAGCAGCCAUGGUGUAAAACUUGUGUGCAGUUGAGUUGAGGUGAUUGUGUCUGGUGGCUCAUCUGUCAGAAAAAGUGUCAGUCGCCUCCUGUGACAUUUACAACUGAUACAUGUGUUUCUCUUGUAGCUGUCACAGCAGAAAACACAGGCAGUAGAAAAGACGUGAAUACAGCAAACCUGCAAAUCAAUCAAGAUGAGACUGUGUUUCAGCUACACAAGCUAAACAUAAUGCAUUGUGUUAAAAACCAUAGAAGUGCAAGGUACUACACAAAGAAAUGGUGAAAUUCUCCCUUCUCUAGUUCUUAUUUUUUAUGCCUCUCCAUCUUAACGAUGUGUUUAUAUAGAAUCUAAUUAGCUUCAAAAGCUGUGAAAUCAGAAACUACCACUUUUUUCAGUUAACACCAUCGUCAUUUCUUUCCUCUUGGAGGUGCGUGUUACUACAGAGUCCCAACCAUUUUAAUUGAGACUAUGUUGUGCUUAUCCUCCUCCAUCGCUCAGUGCUGAUGUGCCUUCUUGUCGUCCUCUCUCUUGCUUGUAGCCAGAGCGCCCUUUUUGACUUCACACGAAAAAAAGCAAACAGCCAACAGGGAUCCGGGAAGGUAAGAGGUUAAAAGUCAGCCAACAGAAAGGCCAGAGUUGAGACUUCUGGUUAGGAGGAGGGAAAUCUAAGCAUGAGAAAAGGUGCUGGUGGGCUGAAUCCC